rnacentral:rRNA from 1 species
CUUUAUUUGACGGUAAUCAACCAGAAAGUCACGGCUAACUACGUGCCAGCAGCCGCGGUAAUACGUAGGUGGCAAGCGUUGUCCGGAUUUAUUGGGCGUAAAGCGAGCGCAGGCGGAAUGAUAAGUCUGAUGUGAAAGCCCACGGCUCAACCGUGGAACUGCAUCGGAAACUGUCAUUCUUGAGUGCAGAAGAGGAGAGUGGAAUUCCAUGUGUAGCGGUGGAAUGCGUAGAUAUAUGGAAGAACACCAGUGGCGAAGGCGGCUCUCUGGUCUGCAACUGACGCUGAGGCUCGAAAGCAUGGGUAGCGAACAGGAUUAGAUACCCUGGUAGUCCAUGCCGUAAACGAUGAGCGCUAGGUGUUGGGGACUUUCCGGUCCUCAGUGCCGCAGCAAACGCAUUAAGCGCUCCGCCUGGGGAGUACGACCGCAAGGUUGAAACUCAAAGGAAUUGACGGGGGCCCGCACAAGCGGUGGAGCAUGUGGUUUAAUUCGAAGCAACGCGAAGAACCUUACCAGGUCUUGACAUCCUGCGCUACACCUAGAGAUAGGUGGUUCCCUUCGGGGACGCAGAGACAGGUGGUGCAUGGCUGUCGUCAGCUCGUGUCGUGAGAUGUUGGGUUAAGUCCCGCAACGAGCGCAACCCUUGUCUUUAGUUGCCAUCAUUAAGUUGGGCACUCUAAAGAGACUGCCGGUGACAAACCGGAGGAAGGUGGGGAUGACGUCAAGUCAUCAUGCCCCUUAUGACCUGGGCUACACACGUGCUACAAUGGGCAGUACAACGAGAAGCGAACCCGCGAGGGUAAGCGGAUCUCUUAAAGCUGUUCUCAGUUCGGACUGCAGGCUGCAACUCGCCUGCACGAAGCUGGAAUCGCUAGUAAUCGCGGAUCAGCACGCCGCGGUGAAUACGUUCCCGGGCCUUGUACACACCGCCCGUCACACCAUGGAAGUCUGCAAUGCCCAAAGUCGGUGGGAUAACCUUUAUAGGAGUCAGCCGCCUAAGGCAGGGCAGAUGACUGGGGUGAAGUCGUAACAAGGUAGCCGUAGGAGAACCUGCGGCUGGAUCACCUCCUUUCUAAGGAA